GAUCACGAAUUCUGGGCAUAACAGGAUCAUGACUGGAGCCGAAAUCAAGAGUGGGGCGCUCAACCGACUGAGUCAUCCAGGUGCCCCAUCAUUCAUUUUCACAUGACCUUCACAUUUUUAUCUCCUACCUGGACCUUUUCCCUAAAAUCUAUUUCUACCAUUCAAACUGCCCACCAGACACUUAGUACUUAAUUUUCCAGCAUUGUCUCCAACUCAACAACUUUCUAGCUAAUUCAUCAUUAUCUUAUCCCUCUUCCCUUCAUCCUUUGUGGCUCCUCCUUCUGACUUUCCACUUCUGUUAAUGACAUCAUCAUUCUCCCACUUACCUAAGUGCAAUGUUUCCAUCAUCUUGACCUCUUUCUCUCUUGUCCUCCACAUUUCAUCAGUUAUCAAGGCCUUCUGAUUAUUGUUUCAUAAUUUCCCUUCACCAUCGGUGUCACGGAAUGGAGGCAGGAACUGGAUAAUUCACCCAUUAUUACCUGAAGACACUGUUACCUCACUAGCCUAAGGAACGCUCAGGGAUUCCUCCCACACUCCAAGAACAGCUAGAAGAAGGAGGGAGGAGAAGGUCAGAAGAGCACAGGGGUGGUAACAGCUCUCCUGAGCCUCAACCCAAUGCCAGAGAAGGAGCUCCAGAGCACUUGGCGAGCACCGGCAUUGAUGUGGGGACGAGAGAGGGCACGGCGUCUCUGAAGGCAGAGACGUCCUACUGCUUUCCUCACUCCUGUACUUCCAGUGCCUGUGACCGUGCCUGGCGAAUAACUAGUCUUCGGAUCCUGCGAGCACAGCACAGACAUUACCUCCCUGGGCUUCCAAACACCUCUGUGAGCUGAGGAUCAAGGACAGGGAUUAUUUUACAGAUGGGAAAACUGGCACUCAAAAACCGCGUAUGUGCCAAGACCCCUUCACAAGAUAGCGGCACAGCCAGAAACAGGAUGCAGUGUCACCACAUCAAAACAGAACUGGACACAUUCCUGCAGUCACUUCUCGUCUCUACCCUCACUCAAGGCCAGAUGCUACAUCUCCUUCCUGAAGCUGUGGCAACGUGUGGCCAGCCUCCCAGCUCCAGUCCUACUCCCCACCUCCCAUCUGGGCUCUGAUGUUAAGUCAUCUUUCUCAAGCACCAUAGAGUUUAGAAAAAAUGAGACUCCCCCACACCCCAGUCUUCUUCUGUCAUGAGGUGGUGAGAGCUGGGAAGUCUAGAAAUAUUGGCAAGUAAGAGGAGCCAUGGUUGAAGAUUUUCUGGAGAGCCUCUGUUGUCCGGUCACUUAGAAACCUUGUUCAGAAUCACCCCUGCUAUGGACUUCUUGUUCUCAUGAUGCGGGAAACAAGGGCGACUCCGGACUUCCCAGCGUGGAUCUUAAUUCUGCAUAAUGCUGGGCACGGCAGCUCUGUUUCUUCUGAUGGUAACAAACUCGGAUUCUAAUUCCAACCAGCUGUCUUAGAGCAUUGGCCACAAGGGAGAUCAGGAGAAUAUGUGUGUUUGGUUCUACAUAAACCCAUCCUGACUGCUAGAAAAACAGAGCAUGCUGUUCUUAUGUGAGGGCCAGCCCAAUUCAUUUUCUAAAAUCAAGACACUUUGGGGGAAAGCAAAUCUCAUAUUUCUCUUGUUCUUUGCCCUCAACUAAUUCUUUGAAGUGUAAAGACAGCACCAUGGGAGGAAUAUAUCCUGGUGUUACUACCACAGAGAAAUCCUGGGAAGUGAGAGGUUUUUGUUAGCAUUGAGAUGAUGUCCAUUCAAAGCUGUCAUGCCUGACAUUGCUUCCUGUCUCUUCACCUUAAUAAUGAGUUCCCAGGUAUCAAGUGAAGGCUCCCUGAGUAGUGCAACAGGAGAAGCAUACAUCCGCGGUGCUGCAAGUGACAACAGGGACCGAUUUUCAUGCUGCUUAAAGCACAAGAUAUGCCACUCUUAUAGCACAGCAGCUCACAAAAUCUCCACACGGUGAUGAUGCUAGAGAAGCGUAUCCACUCUGAAGUAUCAGAUCUUCCUCUUGAUCAACUAAACCUGCAGACAGAGCAACUAAUUGGGUCCCACGUGCUGGAUGCAGAGGGGCCUUAAAACUUUUUUUUUUUUCCCAGAGUGACUUGAGGGUGGAGAACACAGUACAAUUUAAUGUAGACAACUGUGAAGUGUUGUCUUAGGGCAGGAAAUCCAUGGAGUGAGCCCAGUGUGCAUGUUAAGUGAAACCAAAGAGCUCCAGAGUGGGUCAGGCAAGCCCUGCGAAUGACUUGGCUUGGCUAGCUAGGAUAACAUAGCAUCCUCUUGAUAAAUGUGACCUCCUCUGAAGAUCUAGGUCAAGGUAAGGGGAGGGAAUAUCUUUUGUUGGUUAAUCCCAGUGCUAUUCAUUUCCCCUGCGGCUGGAUUAGUGUCCUUUCAAAGAAAGAGCUAGGAAAACAGUAAUCAGUGUGUCAGGUUAUCAAUUGAGGGCUCACAGCUUACCAUUCAACCGAAAAAGCAGAGGAGGACUUAGGUAGGAAUGUAGUCUCUUCUAAAAUCCCCAGACUUUCCUUUAUCCACAAGCAUGUUCCCCCCAAAAACUUUCAGAACAGCAUGCACACCCUCAGACAUUUAGAAGGCUUACACCAUUGCCUGAUGUGGAUGUUAUUUGAGAUACAGCUCUAUAAAAGUCUAUAAUGAUAAGUAAUGAGUCUCAUUAUUCAUUUGGGUUUGGCACACAUGAAGCUGACACAUGUCAGGUGUUUAACCACUCCUCCCUUCUCCUUUCAGGAUUUUCUCCAGGCAGAAUUUAGAGCGAUGUCUCAGUCUUCUUGGUGACUGAGGAAUCCAACUCUGUUCUGUCUCGUUUUAUGGAAGCAGUGCUGGGAUGCCUGGGUAGCUCAGUCGGUUGAGCGUCUGACUUCAGCUCAGGUCAUGAUCUCGCAGUUCACGAGUACAGGCCCUGAGUCAGGCUCUGUGCUGACAGCUCAGAGCCUGGAGCCUGAUUGG